GGGUUGUGAGGUUAAGCGACUAAGCGUACACGGUGGAUGCCCUGGCAGUCAGAGGCGAUGAAGGACGUGCUAAUCUGCGAUAAGCGUCGGUAAGGUGAUAUGAACCGUUAUAACCGGCGAUUUCCGAAUGGGGAAACCCAGUGUGAUUCGUCACACUAUCAUUAACUGAAUCCAUAGGUUAAUGAGGCGAACCGGGGGAACUGAAACAUCUAAGUACCCCGAGGAAAAGAAAUCAACCGAGAUUCCCCCAGUAGCGGCGAGCGAACGGGGAGGAGCCCAGAGCCUGAAUCAGUGUGUGUGUUAGUGGAAGCGUCUGGAAAGGCGCGCGAUACAGGGUGACAGCCCCGUACACAAAAAUGCACAUGCUGUGAGCUCGAUGAGUAGGGCGGGACACGUGGUAUCCUGUCUGAAUAUGGGGGACCAUCCUCCAAGGCUAAAUACUCCUGACUGACCGAUAGUGAACCAGUACCGUGAGGGAAAGGCGAAAAGAACCCCGGCGAGGGGAGUGAAAAAGAACCUGAAACCGUGUACGUACAAGCAGUGGGAGCACAGAGCAAUCUGUGUGACUGCGUACCUUUUGUAUAAUGGGUCAGCGACUUAUAUUCUGUAGCAAGGUUAACCGAAUAGGGGAGCCGAAGGGAAACCGAGUCUUAACCGGGCGUUAAGUUGCAGGGUAUAGACCCGAAACCCGGUGAUCUAGCCAUGGGCAGGUUGAAGGUUGGGUAACACUAACUGGAGGACCGAACCGACUAAUGUUGAAAAAUUAGCGGAUGACUUGUGGCUGGGGGUGAAAGGCCAAUCAAACCGGGAGAUAGCUGGUUCUCCCCGAAAGCUAUUUAGGUAGCGCCUCGUGAAUUCAUCUCCGGGGGUAGAGCACUGUUUCGGCAAGGGGGUCAUCCCGACUUACCAACCCGAUGCAAACUGCGAAUACCGGAGAAUGUUAUCACGGGAGACACACGGCGGGUGCUAACGUCCGUCGUGAAGAGGGAAACAACCCAGACCGCCAGCUAAGGUCCCAAAGUCAUGGUUAAGUGGGAAACGAUGUGGGAAGGCCCAGACAGCCAGGAUGUUGGCUUAGAAGCAGCCAUCAUUUAAAGAAAGCGUAAUAGCUCACUGGUCGAGUCGGCCUGCGCGGAAGAUGUAACGGGGCUAAACCAUGCACCGAAGCUGCGGCAGCGACACUGUGUGUUGUUGGGUAGGGGAGCGUUCUGUAAGCCUGUGAAGGUGUGCUGUGAGGCAUGCUGGAGGUAUCAGAAGUGCGAAUGCUGACAUAAGUAACGAUAAAGCGGGUGAAAAGCCCGCUCGCCGGAAGACCAAGGGUUCCUGUCCAACGUUAAUCGGGGCAGGGUGAGUCGACCCCUAAGGCGAGGCCGAAAGGCGUAGUCGAUGGGAAACAGGUUAAUAUUCCUGUACUUGGUGUUACUGCGAAGGGGGGACGGAGAAGGCUAUGUUGGCCGGGCGACGGUUGUCCCGGUUUAAGCGUGUAGGCUGGUUUUCCAGGCAAAUCCGGAAAAUCAAGGCUGAGGCGUGAUGACGAGGCACUACGGUGCUGAAGCAACAAAUGCCCUGCUUCCAGGAAAAGCCUCUAAGCAUCAGGUAACAUCAAAUCGUACCCCAAACCGACACAGGUGGUCAGGUAGAGAAUACCAAGGCGCUUGAGAGAACUCGGGUGAAGGAACUAGGCAAAAUGGUGCCGUAACUUCGGGAGAAGGCACGCUGAUAUGUAGGUGAAGUCCCUCGCGGAUGGAGCUGAAAUCAGUCGAAGAUACCAGCUGGCUGCAACUGUUUAUUAAAAACACAGCACUGUGCAAACACGAAAGUGGACGUAUACGGUGUGACGCCUGCCCGGUGCCGGAAGGUUAAUUGAUGGGGUCAGCGCAAGCGAAGCUCUUGAUCGAAGCCCCGGUAAACGGCGGCCGUAACUAUAACGGUCCUAAGGUAGCGAAAUUCCUUGUCGGGUAAGUUCCGACCUGCACGAAUGGCGUAAUGAUGGCCAGGCUGUCUCCACCCGAGACUCAGUGAAAUUGAACUCGCUGUGAAGAUGCAGUGUACCCGCGGCAAGACGGAAAGACCCCGUGAACCUUUACUAUAGCUUGACACUGAACAUUGAGCCUUGAUGUGUAGGAUAGGUGGGAGGCUUUGAAGUGUGGACGCCAGUCUGCAUGGAGCCGACCUUGAAAUACCACCCUUUAAUGUUUGAUGUUCUAACGUGGACCCGUGAUCCGGGUUGCGGACAGUGUCUGGUGGGUAGUUUGACUGGGGCGGUCUCCUCCUAAAGAGUAACGGAGGAGCACGAAGGUUGGCUAAUCCUGGUCGGACAUCAGGAGGUUAGUGCAAUGGCAUAAGCCAGCUUGACUGCGAGCGUGACGGCGCGAGCAGGUGCGAAAGCAGGUCAUAGUGAUCCGGUGGUUCUGAAUGGAAGGGCCAUCGCUCAACGGAUAAAAGGUACUCCGGGGAUAACAGGCUGAUACCGCCCAAGAGUUCAUAUCGACGGCGGUGUUUGGCACCUCGAUGUCGGCUCAUCACAUCCUGGGGCUGAAGUAGGUCCCAAGGGUAUGGCUGUUCGCCAUUUAAAGUGGUACGCGAGCUGGGUUUAGAACGUCGUGAGACAGUUCGGUCCCUAUCUGCCGUGGGCGCUGGAGAACUGAGGGGGGCUGCUCCUAGUACGAGAGGACCGGAGUGGACGCAUCACUGGUGUUCGGGUUGUCAUGCCAAUGGCACUGCCCGGUAGCUAAAUGCGGAAGAGAUAAGUGCUGAAAGCAUCUAAGCACGAAACUUGCCCCGAGAUGAGUUCUCCCUGACCCUUUAAGGGUCCUGAAGGAACGUUGAAGACGACGACGUUGAUAGGCCGGGUGUGUAAGCGCAGCGAUGCGUUGAGCUAACCGGUACUAAUGAACCGUGAGGCUUAACCUUACAACGCCGAAGGUGUUU
rnacentral:rRNA from 1 species